ACAUACACACAGAAAAACAAAGAAGGAGGAAAAAGGGAAAGAUAGAAAAUCAGACUCUAGAAAGAAGUACAAAUGAUUGCAAAAUGAUGACGUGAGAGACCUCUGCUCAUGGACUCGGAGGAGGAGAACCCCACUGUCUGUGCCUUCGAAAACAGGGUGAAGUCCCCAUCCCUGCUUUUUAAGAGACUGUUCUGGAAGAAAAAUCGAGAGUGUUCAUCUGGGUCUGGGUAACUGGCUUUCUAGCAGUAGUCAGAUUGUUGGAAAGUCACUUCAGAUACCUGACAAUGGACCACUUGUGUUUUGCAAGCCGUAUUUUCCUGAAAACAUUUGCCCUCUAGGAAUAGCUGGAAAGGCAGCUAUAAAUGCCAACCAGCUUUGAAAAGAUGGUACCAAAAGUCAGGAUGGUCCAGUUAUGGGCACAUCAGCUUCUGAACUGCAAACUAAGCCUUAGAAGAAUGUACUAUAUUUAUUACUGUAAUAGAAUAUCAUGUGUCAAUAAAAUCCUUUUAUUUGUGUGAA